AGAGUUUGAUCCUGGCUCAGAUUGAACGCUGGCGGCAGGCCUAACACAUGCAAGUCGAGCGGAUGAGUGGAGCUUGCUCCAUGAUUCAGCGGCGGACGGGUGAGUAAUGCCUAGGAAUCUGCCUGGUAGUGGGGGGCAACGUUUCGAAAGGAACGCUAAUACCGCAUACGUCCUACGGGAGAAAGCAGGGGACCUUCGGGCCUUGCGCUAUCAGAUGAGCCUAGGUCGGAUUAGCUAGUUGGUGAGGUAACGGCUCACCAAGGCGACGAUCCGUAACUGGUCUGAGAGGAUGAUCAGUCACACUGGAACUGAGACACGGUCCAGACUCCUACGGGAGGCAGCAGUGGGGAAUAUUGGACAAUGGGCGAAAGCCUGAUCCAGCCAUGCCGCGUGUGUGAAGAAGGUCUUCGGAUUGUAAAGCACUUUAAGUUGGGAGGAAGGGCAGUAAGUUAAUACCUUGCUGUUUUGACGUUACCGACAGAAUAAGCACCGGCUAACUUCGUGCCAGCAGCCGCGGUAAUACGAAGGGUGCAAGCGUUAAUCGGAAUUACUGGGCGUAAAGCGCGCGUAGGUGGUUCAGCAAGUUGGAUGUGAAAGCCCCGGGCUCAACCUGGGAACUGCAUCCAAAACUACUGAGCUAGAGUACGGUAGAGGGUGGUGGAAUUUCCUGUGUAGCGGUGAAAUGCGUAGAUAUAGGAAG
rnacentral:rRNA from 1 species